AUAAAGUUUAAUUUUAACUUGAAGUUUUAUUUAAUUUUUUAUUUACAUGUAAAUUUUUGUGAGUUUUUAAUAUUAAUUUAAAUAAUUAAUGUUAAUUUUUUUAUUCGCAGUAUAUAAUUUUAUUGAUUUAAGAUAUUAAGAAUUAUAAAUAAAUUUAAAUAUUGACAAAAUUUGUGCCAGCAGUUGCGGUUAUACAAAAAAUAUAAAUAAAUUUUAUUGAUUGGUAAUUAAAGGUUUAGUUUUAAUAAAAAUUAAAUUUAUAAGGUGAAAUUUUAAAAUUUAAAAUAGUUAUUAUUGAAUUACUUGAUUUUAUUAGAUUUUUUUAUUAAACUAGGAUUAGAUACCCUAUUAUUAAAAAUUUAAAAUUUUUUCAUCAAAGUAGUAUUAGUUAUGGUCUUGAAAUUUAAAAAUUUUGGCGGUAUUUUAGUCUAUUCAGAGGAACCUGUUCUAUAAUUGAUAGUCCACGAUAGAUUGUACUUGAUUUAAUUAGUUUGUAUAUCGUCGUUAUUAAAUAUUUUAAAAGAAUUAAAUAUUUAAUAUUUUUUAUUAAAAAUUAUAUCAGAUCAAGGUGCAGUUUAUAAUUAAGAAGAAAUGGGUUACAAUAAAUUUAUUUAAAUGGAUUUAAAAAUGAAAAUUUUAAUGAAGGUGGAUUUGAAAGUAAUAAAAUUUAUAUUAGUUUUAUGAUUUUAGCUCUAAAAUGUGUACAUAUCGCCCGUCACUCUUAUUAUAAAAUAAGAUAAGUCGUAACAAAGUAGAUGUACUGGAAAGUGUAUCUAGAAUGU
rnacentral:ncRNA from 1 species